CAGAGUGCAGAGUCCCUCCACUCAAGCCAUACCAUUACUUAAUUUUUUAUGAUGAUCUAAUUUCAAAAAUUCAUAAUUUAAAUUUUUUUUAAAUUUCUAAAUCCUAUAUUUUUCCAUCAUAAAACCAGCCAGCCACACCGGGCUGAGAGUUCAUGCAAUUUUAUUUUCAUCGUCUGCCUCCAGCACCCAUUUACUUUAUUAUUUCGAAAUUUCAUAUUUUAAUAUUUUUCAAAAAUUUCUUGUUGUGAGUCAUUUAAUUCUAAAAAAACAGUUCCAACAAGCCAUCAUCACACUAUUCAUUUUUUUUACUCCGUCAUCUUGCUCCGUUGAUUUUAAUGAUAAUUUAUAUUUCGAAAGUUCCUGAUCUUAGUUUGAAAUUUUAAAAUGCCUAAGAAGCCCUUUAGAGUUGCCCCCAUGGCGCUGCCAAGGUUGAUGACGAUUAAGGAGGAGGAGGAAGAAGAAGAAGGGGGGAAACCUCGGGGGAGACCGGUUUUUGAUUGGGAUCCAACCAAACCCGUAGCAAAUCAUUAUUUUUUUUAUGAAAUUUCAAUUUUUAUAUCAUCCCUUAUCAAUCAUGUUAUCAUUUUAUGAAUCAAUUUUCUUUCCAGCUUCCGCCUGCCGAGAUCCAGUUAAAAUUGGACCCCAACCUCACCAAAGUCUUGCCCCACGAAUAUGGCAAGUCACGCCUAUGCUCUUGCUGUUUUCUUCCCCUCCUGGGAAACCAAUGUCGUCGUCUGGGAUGGGCAGGCCGCCGGGUAAGCGCUUAUCAUCAAAGACGUCGUCCAACUCCCGUCCCUCCCUUUCCACUCCCGAUCGGCACCGGACGUCCGAAGCCACCACCCCGUCCCCCCGGCCAUCAAGAAGACGACACCGCCUUUGCCCUCAUGACCACCGAGAUCCACGGGCUUAUCGAUAAAAUGAUCGCUGAAUCGGAGAAGGACGACGAUAUCCUCGAGUUUAAUCGAUUAUCGAGAGAAAUAGACUGGCUGGUGACCCAAAUGCGGCCGGCGCCCCGAGUCGCGUCGCCAAUUCCGGAGGACCUCAACGCCAUCGGCGUCUUCGUCAAUGCGGCGAAUGCCAUUUUUCAUAAAAUAAUGUUCCUAAGAGCACAAGGGAUAAGUGAGGACUCGAUUUUCAACCUGGUUUAUAACACGGAAGAUUCCGCCGCUGACAAGAGCAAUUAAAAUGAUGCAUCGUUAGUAAAUUACCAAGAAGUCACAAAACAGUGCGAACAACGAAUGGCCACGGGGGAUGAAGAAGUUUUGAAGAUUGUCGCCCUUGAUUUGAUUAGAAUUUUACCAAAUUUUAGCGUUCACUAAUGUCGUCACCAAACAGUCCGAGUAACGAGUUGACCACGGGGGAUCAAGAGUUGAAGGGGAAUCUUUAUCGAUAAAAUUAUGGUUUAGACUAAACCGUUUAGUAAGAAGCGGUCAACAGCUAUCUCUCAUCUCAACUACCAAUGCACACAUAGCCCCGACCGGAAACCGGAACUGGAACUGUAUCUCGACAAAGAAAACUGGGAGCAACACACACGAGUAUGAAUGAUGCUUUAUUUUUAUAUCAGCAAAAAAAACAACAACGUUACAUCAUAAUUUUAUUUUGAUUUUCAAGAAUUUUUAGUAGCUACAGAAAAACUCUUGUUCAAAAUUUGACUUUUUAACCUUCCCAAUUACCAUUUUAGGUGGUCGUGUUACGUACAUACAUGUGAUUUCAUACCAAUUAUUCCAUUCUAGUUAGAAUUUUGUUUAGUCUUUGAAUACAAUUUAUCCCCGUGUGUGCCGAAAUCGUAAAUGAAUUGUAAUUAGUCCUUAAUUUUUUGAGAUUUAUCAGGGUUUUUAAGAAGAAAAUUGUUAAACUAACAUUUUUAUAGCAUAGUUUCAACAUAAUAUCAAUAUGUAAAUAAUCCAAAAAUCUCGUACCUUUUGAUACAUGAUGAAAAUUACGAGACUGAACACAAAAUUUGGCUGACCGGUUAAAUUAGUUAAAUUAUUAGUUUUUAAAUGGUGAUCAUCAUUUGAUUUAGUGAGUUGCAUUCUAUGUAAAUAGUUGUAAAUUUGUUUAACGUUUUUUCAUAUAAUUAUUUUAUUUUGUAAAUUUUGGGGUAAUUUUUAUAUAGAAAAUGUAACUUUGUGUACGAUUAAUUAGUUAAAUUAAUUAAAAAUA